GGAUUGCAGGCUGCAACCCGCCUGCAUGAAGCCGGAAUCGCUAGUAAUCGUAGGUCAGCAUACUACGGUGAAUACGUUCCCGGGCCUUGUACACACCGCCCGUCAAACCAUGAGAGUUGGCAACACCCGAAGUCGGUAGUCUAACCGCAAGGAGGACGCCGCCGAAGGUGGGGUUGAUGAUUAGGGUUAAGUCGUAACAAGGUACC
rnacentral:rRNA from 1 species